rnacentral:rRNA from 1 species
UGUGUAGGCGGCCGCGCAAGUCUGGUGUGAAAUCUUCACCGCUUAACGGGAAGAGGUCACUGGAAACUGCGUGGCUUGAGUAUGGUAGAGGCAAGCGGAACUCCUGGUGUAGCGGUGGAAUGUGUAGAUAUCAGGAAGAACACCGGUGGCGAAGGCGGCUUGCUGGGCCAUCACUGACGCUGAGACACGAAAGCGUGGGGAGCAAACGGGAUUAGAUACCCCGGUAGUCCACGCUGUAAACGGUGCGCACUAGGUGUGAGGGGUAUCGACCCCCCUUGUGCCGAAGCAACGCAUUAAGUGCGCCGCCUGGGAGUACGGCCGCAAGGUUGA